rnacentral:rRNA from 1 species
UUAGCGGCGGACGGGUGAGUAACACGUGGGUAACCUGCCUGUAAGACUGGGAUAACUCCGGGAAACCGGGGCUAAUACCGGAUGCUUGUUUGAACCGCAUGGUUCAAACAUAAAAGGUGGCUUCGGCUACCACUUACAGAUGGACCCGCGGCGCAUUAGCUAGUUGGUGAGGUAACGGCUCACCAAGGCAACGAUGCGUAGCCGACCUGAGAGGGUGAUCGGCCACACUGGGACUGAGACACGGCCCAGACUCCUACGGGAGGCAGCAGUAGGGAAUCUUCCGCAAUGGACGAAAGUCUGACGGAGCAACGCCGCGUGAGUGAUGAAGGUUUUCGGAUCGUAAAGCUCUGUUGUUAGGGAAGAACAAGUACCGUUCGAAUAGGGCGGUACCUUGACGGUACCUAACCAGAAAGCCACGGCUAACUACGUGCCAGCAGCCGCGGUAAUACGUAGGUGGCAAGCGUUGUCCGGAAUUAUUGGGCGUAAAGGGCUCGCAGGCGGUUUCUUAAGUCUGAUGUGAAAGCCCCCGGCUCAACCGGGGAGGGUCAUUGGAAACUGGGGAACUUGAGUGCAGAAGAGGAGAGUGGAAUUCCACGUGUAGCGGUGAAAUGCGUAGAGAUGUGGAGGAACACCAGUGGCGAAGGCGACUCUCUGGUCUGUAACUGACGCUGAGGAGCGAAAGCGUGGGGAGCGAACAGGAUUAGAUACCCUGGUAGUCCACGCCGUAAACGAUGAGUGCUAAGUGUUAGGGGGUUUCCGCCCCUUAGUGCUGCAGCUAACGCAUUAAGCACUCCGCCUGGGGAGUACGGUCGCAAGACUGAAACUCAAAGGAAUUGACGGGGGCCCGCACAAGCGGUGGAGCAUGUGGUUUAAUUCGAAGCAACGCGAAGAACCUUACCAGGUCUUGACAUCCUCUGACAAUCCUAGAGAUAGGACGUCCCCUUCGGGGGCAGAGUGACAGGUGGUGCAUGGUUGUCGUCAGCUCGUGUCGUGAGAUGUUGGGUUAAGUCCCGCAACGAGCGCAACCCUUGAUCUUAGUUGCCAGCAUUCAGUUGGGCACUCUAAGGUGACUGCCGGUGACAAACCGGAGGAAGGUGGGGAUGACGUCAAAUCAUCAUGCCCCUUAUGACCUGGGCUACACACGUGCUACAAUGGACAGAACAAAG